rnacentral:rRNA from 1 species
AUUGAACGCUGGCGGCAGGCCUAACACAUGCAAGUCGAACGGUAACAGGGAUCAGCUUGCUGAUUCGCUGACGAGUGGCGGACGGGUGAGUAAUGUCUGGGAAACUGCCUGAUGGAGGGGGAUAACUACUGGAAACGGUAGCUAAUACCGCAUAACGUCGCAAGACCAAAGAGGGGGACCUUCGGGCCUCUUGCCAUCGGAUGUGCCCAGAUGGGAUUAGCUAGUAGGUGGGGUAACGGCUCACCUAGGCGACGAUCCCUAGCUGGUCUGAGAGGAUGGCCAGCCACACUGGAACUGAGACACGGUCCAGACUCCUACGGGAGGCAGCAGUGGGGAAUAUUGCACAAUGGGCGCAAGCCUGAUGCAGCCAUGCCGCGUGUAUGAAGAAGGCCUUCGGGUUGUAAAGUACUUUCAGCGGGGAGGAAGGGAGUAAAGUUAAUACCUUUGCUCAUUGACGUUACCCGCAGAAGAAGCACCGGCUAACUCCGUG